rnacentral:rRNA from 1 species
GACGUAGGGCGCGAGCGUUGUCCGGAUUUAUUGGGCGUAAAGAGCUCGUAGGCGGCUUGUCGCGUCGAAUGUGAAAUCUCAGGGCUCAACUCUGACAUUGCAUUCGAUACGGGCAGGCUCGAGUUCGGUAGGGGAGACUGGAAUUCCUGGUGUAGCGGUGAAAUGCGCAGAUAUCAGGAGGAACACCGGUGGCGAAGGCGGGUCUCUGGGCCGAUACUGACGUGAGGAGCGAAAGCGUGGGGAGCGAACAGGA